CCUACGGGUGACAGCAGUCGAGAAUCAUUCACAAUGGGGGAAACCCUGAUGGGGCGACGCCGCGUGGGGGAAUGAAGGUCUGCGGAUUGUAAACCCCUGUCAUGGGGGAGCAAAUUAAAAAGAUAGUACCACAAGAGGAAGAGACGGCUUACGCUGCGCCAGCAGCCGCGGUAAUACAGAGGUCUCAAGCGUUGGUCGGAACCACUGGGCGUACAGCGUGCGUAGGCUGUUUCGUAAGUCGUGUGUGAAAGGCGCGGGCUCAACCCGCGGACGGCCCAUGAGACUGCGAGACUAGAGUAAUGGAGGGGUAACCGGAAUUCUCGGUGUAGCCGU
rnacentral:rRNA from 1 species